rnacentral:rRNA from 1 species
UACCAAGAGUUUAAGUUAUGUGUUUAGGUUGAAAAGAUAGUUAGGUUGUAUUAGUUAAUAUAAUGAUUCUUUAUAAAAAAGUAAAAUUUGAAUAUAAAGAAUUAAUUUUAUUUAUAUUAAAAUGCUGAAUCUGUGAUAAUUAUGAGGGAAACUGGGAUUAGAUACCCCAUUAUUCAUUAUUUUAAAUAAAAAUUAUUUACCUGAGUACUAUGAAUUUAAAAUUUAAAACUUAAAGGGCUUGGCGGUGUUUUAGACCUAUUAGGGGAACCUGUCUCGUAAUCGACAAUCCACGAUAUACCUGGCCUUUUUUCGUAUUCAGUUUGUAUACCGUCGUCGUCAGGCAACUUUUAAAAAUAAAGAAGUUGGCAUAAAUAAUAAUUUAAAUUAAGACGUCAGAUCAAGGUGCAGCUUAUAAAAAGGAGAGGAUGGGUUACAAUUAUAAAAUAAUAAUUAUGGAUAGUUUAAUGUAAAAAGCUUAAAGGCGGACUUAAAAGUAAUUAUGUAAUAUACAAAUAUUUUGAAUUAGGCUCUGAAACGUGC